UGAGUCAGCUGGACAGUUGCUGCCUGUGCUCUUGUGUACAGGGGGAGGAAAGUCCGGGCUCCAAAGAGCAGGGUGCCAGGUAACACCUGGGGGGUGUGAACCCACGGCAGUGCAACAGAAAAGAUACCGCCCAAUCGCUUUGAGGUUGGGUAAGGGUGAAAUGGUGCGGUAAGAGCGCACCGCACGACUGGUAACAGUUCGUGGCUCGGUAAACCCCACCCGGAGCAAGGCCAAAUAGGAAUCCAACAAUGUGGCUCGCAUUGGAUUCGGGUAGGCCGCUACAGACCUGUGGCGACACAGGCCGCAGAUGAAUAACUGUCCUUGACAGAACCCGGCUUACAGGCUGACUCGCCUU
rnacentral:RNase_P_RNA from 1 species